rnacentral:rRNA from 1 species
CCUACGGGUGGCAGCCGUGAGGAAUAUUGGUCAAUGGACGAGCGUCUGAACCAGCCAAGUAGCGUGAAGGAUGACUGCCCUAUGGGUUGUAAACUUCUUUUAUAUGGGAAUAAAAUGUUCCACGUGUGGGAUUUUGUAUGUACCAUAUGAAUAAGGAUCGGCUAACUCCGUGCCAGCAGCCGCGGUAAUACGGAGGAUCCGAGCGUUAUCCGGAUUUCUUGGGUUUAAAGGGAGCGUAGGUGGAUUGUUAAGUCCGUUGUGAAAUGUUGCGGCUCAACCGUAAAAUUGCAGUUGAAACUGGCAGUCUUGAGUACAGUAGAGGUGGGCGGAAUGCGUGGUGUAGCGGUGAAAUGCUUAGAUAUCACGAAGAACUCCGAUUGCGAAGGCAGUUCACUGGACUGCAACUGACACUGAGGCUCGAAAGUGUGGGUAUCAAACAGGAUUAGAUACCCUGGUAGUC